CCUGCCCAUGACCUGAUUUAACGGCCGCAGUACCCUAACCGCGCAAAGGUAGCAUAAUCACUUGCCCUCUAAAUAAGGACUAGUAUCAACGGCAUCACGAGGGUUCUACUGUCUCCUUUUUCCAAUCAGUGAAACUAAUCUCCCCGUGAAGAAGCGGGAAUAAAUCUAUAAGACGAGAAGACCCCAUGGAGCUUCAAACCAGCUACAACCCUGCCCCCCCCACACCCUUUCAACCCCGGGGCCCUACAUGCCUGGUUUUCGGUUGGGGCGACCACGGAGUACAAAAAAACCUCCACGAUGAACGAGCCUACCCUCUUACCUAAGAACUACACCUCAAAGAACUAGUAUACUAACAUAAAGUGAUCCAAUAAUUGAUCAACGAACCAAGUUACCCUGGGGAUAACAGCGCAAUCCAUU
rnacentral:rRNA from 1 species